GAUGAACGCUGGCGGCGUGCUUAACACAUGCAAGUCGAACGAAGCACCUUAUUCUGAUUAUUUCGGUAUGAAGUUCUUUAUGACUGAGUGGCGGACGGGUGAGUAACGCGUGGGUAACCUGCCUUGUACUGGGGGAUAGCAGCUGGAAACGGCUGGUAAUACCGCAUAAGCGCACAAUGUUGCAUGACAUGGUGUGAAAAACUCCGGUGGUAUAAGAUGGCCCCGCGUCUGAUUAGCUAGGUGGGGAGAUAACAGCCCACCAAGGCGACGAUCAGUAGCCGACCUGGGAGGGUGACCGGGCAAAUUUGGACUGAGACACGGCCCAAACUCCUACGGGAGGCAGGAGGGGGGAAUAUUGCACAAUGGAGGAAACUCUGAUGCAGCGACGCCGCGUGAGUGAAGAAGUAAUUCGUUAUGUAAAGCUCUAUCAGCAGGGAAGAUAGUGACGGUACCUGACUAAGAAGCUCCGGCUAAAUACGUGCCAGCAGCCGCCGUAA
rnacentral:rRNA from 1 species